rnacentral:rRNA from 1 species
GGGGAAUAUUGCGCAAUGGGGGCAACCCUGACGCAGCCAUGCCGCGUGAAUGAAGAAGGCCUUCGGGCUGUAAAGUUCUUUCGGUGACGAGGAAGGUUGUUGUGUGAAUAGCACAACAAAUUGACGUUAAUCACAGAAGAAGCACCGGCUAACUCCGUGCCAGCAGCCGCGGUAAUACGGAGGGUGCGAGCGUUAAUCGGAAUAACUGGGCGUAAAGGGCACGCAGGCGGACUUUUAAGUGAGGUGUGAAAUCCCCGGGCUUAACCUGGGAAUUGCAUUUCAGACUGGGGGUCUAGAGUACUUUAGGGAGGGGUAGAAUUCCACGUGUAGCGGUGAAAUGCGUAGAGAUGUGGAGGAAUACCGAAGGCGAAGGCAGCCCCUUGGGAAUGUACUGACGCUCAUGUGCGAAAGCGUGGGGAGCAAACAGGAUUAGAUACCCUGGUAGUCCACGCUGUAAACGCUGUCGAUUUGGGGAUUGGGCUUUGAGCUUGGUGCCCGUAGCUAACGUGAUAAAUCGACCGCCUGGGGAGUACGGCCGCAAGGUUA